rnacentral:rRNA from 1 species
AACGAACGCUGGCGGCAUGCCUAACACAUGCAAGUCGAACGAGAUCUUCGGGUCUAGUGGCGCACGGGUGCGUAACGCGUGGGAAUCUGCCCUUUGGUUCGGAAUAACAGUUGGAAACGACUGCUAAUACCGGAUGAUGACGAAAGUCCAAAGAUUUAUCGCCAGGGGAUGAGCCCGCGUAGGAUUGGCUAGUUGGUGUGGUAAAGGCGAACCAAGGCGACGAUCCUUAGCUGGUCUGAGAGGAUGAUCAGCCACACUGGGACUGAGACACGGCCCAGACUCCUACGGGAGGCAGCAGUGGGGAAUAUUGGACAAUGGGCGAAAGCCUGAUCCAGCAAUGCCGCGUGAGUGAUGAAGGCCUUAGGGUUGUAAAGCUCUUUUACCCGGGAUGAUAAUGACAGUACCGGGAGAAUAAGCUCCGGCUAACUCCGUGCCAGCCGCCGCCGUAA